rnacentral:lncRNA from 1 species
GGAAAUGGUUCCAAUCGUUUUUCCACCAUUAAUUUUUUCCUUACUGGAUUAUAGAAACACUUAAAAUAAGGGCUGUGUUUCGUGUAGGCUUACCUUGGAGUGACGUUUUGAUAAUUGUGUAAAUCUCUCUAGGUCCAGGACAAGAUGUCUUAUCAAUAUAUUCGCUUGUAUUUACCCCUAAAAAUGAAAUGCUAAUUAGCUGUUAAUGUGGCUAUCAUAAUGAACUAAAAAUGCCAUGAAUGAUCUGGAUGAGACUGCGGAAUCGAGGCAAAUGUAAGAAUCUCUGGAUUAACUAUAUCUAAUGUUAGAAAAAUGUACUAAUGAAUAAGUCAUUUCUUUAAAUUGACAAUUCUGUGAACUGUCUUGUGCAAGUUUUACAUUGACACAAUAUACCUGUUUGCAAAGGUCAGCUCGACAUGACGUGCAGGAGCUGGCAGAGAUUUGUAGUCUUGCAUGAUGUCUACUUUGACGCUAAUUAGCAUUUUCUAAUCUGAGAGUAAAUAGAGCCGAAUAUAUUGAUUAAAGUCACCUUGUCCAAGAGCGAUUUAAAUGGUUAUCAAAACAUCAUGCCAGGGUAAGCCUACACGAAACACAGCCCUUAUUAAGUGUCUCUAAAAUUCCCUAUGGGGAAAAAUGAAUGGUGGAAAAACGAUUGGAACCAUUUCCCUGUUUGGGUAUUAUGACACCGCCACUUUGGGGCUCUAUAGCAGGGAUAGGCAACUCUGUUCCUGGAGUGCAGCAGGACCACGACCUCACUCUGACCCUCAAGGCCGUUACCCUCCUAACCACAAACACCCAGUGGCUGCUAGACCUGACACCUUGGCCCCACGUACAUCCUCACCAAGCAAUCUGGGCAGCUCGCAGACCGCUCCACUAGAGUCACAGGCUGAGGCCCAGGCCUCCACAGAGAACCCAGAGGCAGUGAGUAUUAUGUUCGAGGCAGCGGUGGCAGGGAUGCGGAUGUGUGAGCAUGCUUACCCCAGCCGUGGAUCAGUGGCUGGAGUGGCAGUCAGCUGGGUAGUGGCUUCACAGGGUUGUCAGACUUAACAUUGCUGGCUGGAUUCUGACAUGCGUGGUUGCUUGUUUUAAGGAGCUUACAGACGGGCUGCGGUGAACUCAACAUUUCUGCCUACCGUGUGUAGAUGCCAGCGGUCCCAGUUGUUGUCAGCUCAAAGGUUGUGAUUAAAACAUUGGUUGGUUGGCGAGAUGAACUCUGCUCAUUGGUCAACCAUGCAUAUUUUGAAGCCUUGAGCGUAGAGCCAGCGCCACCGCUCACUGGAGUGAGUGCCACGAACGGCGCCACUUGUAAAACUGCUUGCGGUUUGCCGCCC